GAUGAACGCUGGCGGCGUGCCUAAUACAUGCAAGUCGAGCGAACAGAUGAGGAGCUUGCUCCUCUGACGUUAGCGGCGGACGGGUGAGUAACACGUGGAUAACCUACCUAUAAGACUGGGAUAACUUCGGGAAACCGGAGCUAAUACCGGACAAUAUAUUGAACCGCAUGGUUCAAUAGUGAAAGACGGUUUUGCUGUCACUUAUAGAUGGAUCCGCGCCGCAUUAGCUAGUUGGUAAGGUAACGGCUUACCAAGGCAACGAUGCGUAGCCGACCUGAGAGGGUGAUCGGCCACACUGGAACUGAGACACGGUCCAGACUCCUACGGGAGGCAGCAGUAGGGAAUCUUCCGCAAUGGGCGAAAGCCUGACGGAGCAACGCCGCGUGAGUGAUGAAGGUCUUCGGAUCGUAAAACUCUGUUAUUAGGGAAGAACAAAUGUGUAAGUAACUAUGCACGUCUUGACGGUACCUAAUCAGAAAGCCACGGCUAACUACGUG
rnacentral:rRNA from 1 species